AUUGAACGCUGGCGGCAUGAUUUACACAUGCAAGUCGAACGGUAACAGGCCGCAAGGUGCUGACGAGUGGCGAACGGGUGAGUAAUGCAUCGGAACGUGCCCAGUCGUGGGGGAUAACUACUCGAAAGAGUAGCUAAUACCGCAUACGAUCUAUGGAUGAAAGCGGGGGACCGUAAGGCCUCGCGCGAUUGGAGCGGCCGAUGUCAGAUUAGGUAGUUGGUGGGGUAAAGGCUCACCAAGCCAACGAUCUGUAGCUGGUCUGAGAGGACGACCAGCCACACUGGGACUGAGACACGGCCCAGACUCCUACGGGAGGCAGCAGUGGGGAAUUUUGGACAAUGGGCGCAAGCCUGGUCCAGCAAUGCCGCGUGCAGGAAGAAGGCCUUCGGGUUGUAAACUGCUUUUGUACGGAACGAAACGGCUCUGGUUAAUACCCGGGGCUAAUGACGGUACCGUAAGAAUAAGCACCGGCUAACUACGUG
rnacentral:rRNA from 1 species